AGCUCCAAUAGCGUAUAUUUAAGUUGUUGCAGUUAAAAAGCUCGUAGUUGAAUUUCGGGCGGGGUUGGCCGGUCCGCCUUUGAGGUGUGCACUGGCCGGCGCCGUCUUCCUGCCGGUUAGGUUCUCCCGGCCUUUAUUGGCUGGGGUGCUGCGCCGGCGCGGUUACUUUGAAAAAAUUAGAGUGUUCAAAGCGGGCUUACGCUUGAAUAUAUUAGCAUGGAAUAACACGAUAGGACAGAGCGUCUAUUUUGUUGGUUUCGGAUGAUCUGUAAUGAUUAAGAGGAACAGUUGGGGGCAUUCGUAUUUCAUUGUCAGAGGUGAAAUUCUUGGAUUUAUGAAAGACGAACUUCUGCGAAAGCAUUUGCCAAGGAUGUUUUCAUUAAUCAAGAACGAAAGUACG
rnacentral:rRNA from 1 species